rnacentral:rRNA from 2 species
AUUGAACGCUGGCGGCAUGCCUUACACAUGCAAGUCGAACGGUAACAGGUCUUCGGAUGCUGACGAGUGGCGAACGGGUGAGUAAUACAUCGGAACGUGCCCGAUCGUGGGGGAUAACGAGGCGAAAGCUUUGCUAAUACCGCAUACGAUCUACGGAUGAAAGCGGGGGAUCUUCGGACCUCGCGCGGACGGAGCGGCCGAUGGCAGAUUAGGUAGUUGGUGGGAUAAAAGCUUACCAAGCCGACGAUCUGUAGCUGGUCUGAGAGGAUGAUCAGCCACACUGGGACUGAGACACGGCCCAGACUCCUACGGGAGGCAGCAGUGGGGAAUUUUGGACAAUGGGCGAAAGCCUGAUCCAGCCAUGCCGCGUGCAGGAUGAAGGCCUUCGGGUUGUAAACUGCUUUUGUACGGAACGAAAAGCCUCUUUCUAAUAAAGAGGGGUCAUGACGGUACCGUAAGAAUAAGCACCGGCUAACUACGUGCCAGCAGCCGCGGUAAUACGUAGGGUGCAAGCGUUAAUCGGAAUUACUGGGCGUAAAGCGUGCGCAGGCGGUUUUGUAAGACAGAGGUGAAAUCCCCGGGCUCAACCUGGGAACUGCCUUUGUGACUGCAAGGCUGGAGUGCGGCAGAGGGGGAUGGAAUUCCGCGUGUAGCAGUGAAAUGCGUAGAUAUGCGGAGGAACACCGAUGGCGAAGGCAAUCCCCUGGGCCUGCACUGACGCUCAUGCACGAAAGCGUGGGGAGCAAACAGG